GGAACCGGAGCUAAUACCGGAUAAUAUUUUGAACCGCAUGGUUCAAAAGUGAAAGACGGUCUUGCUGUCACUUAUAGAUGGAUCCGCGCUGCAUUAGCCAGUUGGUAAGGUAACGGCUUACCAAGGCAACGAUACAUAGCCGACCUGAGAGGGUGAUCGGCCACACUGGAACUGAGACACGGUCCAG
rnacentral:rRNA from 1 species